ACUAUGAACUGAGAAUGCACUGUGAAUGCCCUAACACAUGUUGUUUUACAUAUCAUAGGAAAUUCAAUGAAGCUGCUUACAUGGGGACUAGGCUAAGGCGUUUAGAAAUCAAGUCAACAAUACAUCCAGGGAGAUUCUUUUCAAUAUCAAAAGUUUUCAAUCAGUGAUGAUUAUCCAAUUUGAUCUAGUAAGUCUGUUGUUGAGCAUCUCAAUCAUAACAUGGAACUAUUUUUAUGCAGUCGAUGGGACUCAAUUGGAGUCACCAAAGUGCGCGAGCUGUGACAGUGUUCAGGACGCGUGCACUGGUCUUGCAACCUCCGGCAUCUUCUGCGAUAAUGCAACAGAUCGAGAGAAAAUUAAACCAAAAAGAACCGCUACAAAAGGCACACUUGCACAAUGUGUGCCCGAUGAAUACGAAGUGACAGGUGAUAUAUGGGACUGGUGCUGCUUUUGGAACCCGAAAAUGGGAUGCCAACAGCUUACGGGACACUACUAUCAGCUGCAUGAAGACUGGAAUAUUACCUGUAUGCUCUGUCUGCACUCGUGCGACUGCGAUACAGGAGCAAAUGAAGCCAGAAGUGGCCUUGCCAGAGUACUGCUGCUUUGCUACACUAUUAUCGGAAUUUACUCUAAACUAUUGUACAUUUACGAAAUAUACUAAGAAUUCUUGCAGUUUCCACUUUUAUACGAUAUUGUGCUGCUUUUGUGCUGAGCCAAUUUCCGACUAUGAACUGAGAAUGCACUGUGAAUGCCCUGACAAAUGUUGUUUUACAUAUCAUAGGAAAUUCAAUGAAGCUGCUCGCAUAGGGCCAUAGGGCGCCAAGGCGUUUAGAAAUCAAGUGAACAAUACAUCCAGGGAGAUUCUUUUCAAUAUCAAAAGUUUUCAAUCCGUGAUGAUUUUCAAAUUUGAUCUACUAACCCUGUUGAGCAUCUCAAACAUGAUAUGGAACGCAAUCUGUGUCGAUAAGGCUCAAUUGGAGUCGGUACAGUGCGGCGAUUGUAAGAAGACUCAGUCCGGUUGUCCGAGAGUCGAAUCCCCCGGCAUCUACUGUGAAAAUAUCGCAGAUCAAGAGAAAAUAAGACCAAAAGAAAAACACUCCAAUAGAGCCGCUGACAAUGGAUUAUUUUCGGCAUGUGUGCCAGAUAAUUACGAACAGAUUGGUGAGAUAUGGGACUGGUGCUGCUUUUGGAACGCGGAAAUAGGAUGUCAACAACUUAGGGGACGCUUCUAUAAUCAGAACUCUAGCUGGAACGAGGAUGAGACCUGUGAUCUCUGUCUGCAAUCGUGUGACUGUCAUUCAAAAGACCAUGUAUCCCGAAAUCGCCUUUCCAGGGUACUCGUCCUCUGCCUCACUAUUAUCCGAAUAUAUUAAAAACUACGAAUGUAUAUACAUAUAUUUUAUUUAAGAAAAUAAUAUUAAAUAUACGGGCAGUUUCAACUUUUA